CCGGCAUUCUUCGCGAACGGACCGAAUGUGAUAAAUGACAAUUGUUCAAAGUUGUAUCUACUUCUGUUUUUGAAAAAAAAUGUUAUAAUUGUUGAACAUACUCUUAUACAGAAACCUCAAGUGCUAUAGAAUUAUAAGGAUUAAAGUGGAAGUUGUAAUAAUCUUACAAAAGUACAAUGGAUACUCUCAAUAACCUCCCUGUAGAAGUAAGUUGAUUUCACAUGCACAUCUUUUCAAUCUCAUCUCGCUGAAACAAUUCAUCUAGAUUUUUGAACAAAUUUUCGCCUACCUCAACUUGAUCGACAGAAAAAACGCUUACUUAGUUUGUAGUUAUUGGCGUAAGAUCCUGCAUGGUGUACGUUUUAAACGGCAAUGCCAAAUAUGCAUCAGCGGCAGCUUCGACCAGGAGCUAUCAGAUUCAGAAAUGCUAAUAGUUAAGGAUUGUCGUAAUAUAUUACUGAAUCAUUGGGAUAAUCCAGACGAUGACGACGACGAUGAUGAAGAUGAACCUGCCGUCAGUGACCGUCGUGAAAAUGAAGAAAUAACAGAUUUAAAGUACCUGUUUGAACCAUGUCCAGAGGCUAACAUAGAAAAAAUACUAAUUGGGCUUGAAUCCUGCAUUGAGACGAUAAUAUUAUACAGCAGCUUUGAGAGUAGCCGAUUGAUACUUGAAAACCGAAUACCAAAGAUGGUAAAUCUCCGAGAGCUUGAAUUUGCCUUCUAUAAUAAUAAAUAUUCGUCGACAGAUCGGAGCAAAUGGUACAUCCAUCACGAGCAACUUCAAAGGCUUAAAAUAUUUCUAGAAGAGACAAAACCAUACAAUGUAAUGCUUCCAAAUUUAACAACAACAUUAGAAUGAGCACCUAGUUGCCGUUGUGGCUUCCAUAUCAUUGAGCAAUACUGCAUACAGUUAAAGCAUCUGAAAGUUAAAUUUGCGGAUCCAGAAACGAUGCAUGAUAUGAUAUCUUUAUCGUUUCCUUUGCUGACACACCUGGAAGUUAUAAUGUACGAAGACAAAGAAAUCCAGGUACGAUACGCUCGAACUCGAAACAAAAACAUAGACCAAAAUUAAAUAUGCCUAGAUUGCAGCACUUAUCACUAUCGCACAAUGACUCAGAUAUUGUGUUUAACGAUGGUCUCUUCGGGUUGAAAUCACUGAAAUUGACAGUCUGUUCCGAAAGAAGUGAAAAAGUGUUGUAUAAGAUUUGCAACAACUUGCCCAACUUAGAACGUCUAGAAUUACUUGUAUAUUCCAAGUGGAAAAAUUUUGCUUUUCGUCAUCUGAACAAGUUGCUCAAGCUUAGGUUACUGCGAAUUAGUGAAUGUGAUAGUAAUAUUAAUUGGACGCUAUGUCCUGUAGUUCCUAACUUGCAAAGAGUUGUGUUCGACAAUUGUACUAAUCUGAGUACGAAAACCUUUAGACGAUUAAGUAACUUGUUUCCUGGUCUCAUCGGCAUCUCCAUAAAGGGAUCAUUCAAAUAAUACAUAACGCUCUAGGGGGUGGGGGGGUAUUCAGCGGAGCGUUAUAUUGCAUGUGGCAAACAUGUAAAAUUGCGUUACAUGGGGGUGGGUGGGUAUUGAAAAUUGCCAAAUUCCACGUUAUGUAAUAUUUGAAUGGUUCCAAAUGAUUGUUGUGCAAUCUGUAGUGAUGAGGACGACACCUGCACUUCUUCCAAAAAGAAAACUCCUAAAUUUGACGAGAGCGAGCAGGCACAACGAAUGUGUAGAGAACAGUUGGAGUCUAUGUUCCCACAGUGCAUAGUUUCUUUGAACAAAACGUCCCUGAAGUGGAAGCGAUGAAAUUAAAGCGAUUUACUAAAAUGCGGAUGGCACCUUAUUGAUAUCACAAUCACACGCCUGUUGAGCGGCUGUCAGUAUACUUUACAUAAUAUCAAGGAGCUUAAAGAGCUCUGCUAAAACCAAAAUUCACGCACGGUAUCAUAAAAAAUGAGAUCUACAGCUGCAGAUUAUGUGGCAAAUAGUUAUUUUGAUAAAUCAUGCAUAUCUCUCAUAUCAUUCCAUCAUUCCAGUUGAAUAGUAAUGAAAGGCUUUAAAAAUUAUUUUAGUGAGCAUUACCCAUUAAUCUAUUUAUUUCAAUAUGUAAUAUACAUACAAUUUGAAAAAGAAUAGUUAGAAGUGUAACCGUUAGGUAUAAGCUAAAAUGUCAAAACCCUGCCAUAAUGUUCAGCUAUGUAUGUUGCUGAGGUUUGCUGAUUGCUGAAUAAACAGCAAUCGAUCUCUCUGGUUUUGAUCGUCAACGUGAACAGACGCGUUUUUUAUAAACCGAAAUCCCCGAGUAAUUUCAUCUUUAACAUUGGCGACGAGGAUUAAUCAUUCCAAUUCGUAAAGUGACGCGUGUUGUGCGAGAAGUACAGGCCGAAAUUUUUUGCUACAGAGUUGUGUACGGGUGUUAUUUUGGCAGAUCCGUUAGCGUUGGGCGAGCGCCGAGAGGGCGAAGUUUUUUUGCCGGAUUGGUUGAUUUGAAAAAACUAGCACGCCGGUUGCAAGGCAACGCUUACAGCAUCGGCUGAAAAUCAGCGUUCGCUAAACUGAGGCUUAGCUUAAGCUGAAUUGAGCUACAUUUAGCUGAUUGGAGUUUAGAUUAUUUGAGAGAUACGAGUGGCCAUUUAAGGCGUCGUGCAUUGAAAAGUCCAGAAGCCAGGAAGAUAGCAGCAGUUGGAUAGAACGUUGCAGUUGGAUAAAUAGCGGUUGAAUAUACGUUAGCUGUUGGCGUCUUUAACGAUUGUGCGCAAUUCGGAAGUCCUUCAGCAAUGGUGUUAAUGAGGACCAUCGACCCUUACGUGGUAGAUCUCGAUCGGAUCAGUCUUGAUCUCGGCCCACAGGGGGCAGAUUAAAUUAGUUGGAAACCCCGAACAUAGGCGCAAUAUGGCGUUUUGGGUGAUGAACCACCCCACACCGUUGGUUGGCCAGGGCUUGAAAAGGAGGUACGACGACUCUGAUGACGAUGAACCGUUUCGGGAAUGUUUGCCAUGUUCACCAACACCUCCACCUACAAGAAAUGAAGUGCAUCCGAAAGUAUUGCAAUCGAAUGAUUUCAGAACCUCGCUUGGUUCUUUUCGAAACCACCCUACAGAAGGCGUACGAAGAUCAGCCAGGCCCAGGAAAAAGAAGUAUGAUAGAAAUUUUGUUUAUUUUAAGUAAAAUGUUCAACUAUCGAUUGAUUUAAAUUACCUAAGUGAAUACAUUACUUUCGAAUCUAUGCUUAGCUUAAGAAAAUAAUUUUGUAAAUAUCAGUAGCUAUAUUAAGUUGUAAAAAGUUUAAAUAGUAGUUCAAAUUUAAAGGGAAAGGUAUUGUAAUAUACAUACAAUUUGAUAAAGAAUAGUUAGAAGUGUAACCGUUAGGUACACUGUAAAUAAAAAUCACGUCGAAGUAAAGUGAUUUGCUGUUGAAUUCGCACUACUUGCCUACACUGUAAAUAAAAAUCACGUCGAAGUAAAGUGAUUUGCUGUUGAAUUCGCACUACUUGCCUAACAUUUCAGAGUUGAAUGAAAAUCUUUCGAAAUAUAUUAAUGCAAAGAACGAUGGAAUCAACAGCAAAUCACUUUAUUUUCUGUUGUUAUGUUCAUCUUUGUUGAUAUGCUUAUGUUUGAGAUACGGAAUGUCGGUCAGUUGGAUAAUUAUAUAAAUUUACAAUAAAUUCAAGAGACUUCUUUUUAUUUUAGUUU